UACUGCCAUAACUGAAUAAACAUUUUUGAUGCUGAGUGUAUAGUUUUGAACACCUUCAGGUAAACAGCUUCUGCCUGCUCUGAUGUUAUUGUAGAAUAUUUGUCUGGAGCAUGUUCCUCAGCCUGUCUGAGGGCCAGGGGAGCCAUCUCCAUCUGCUGAACAUUCCUCAGGUGAACUACUGACCUCCACCGAUCCAACACCUGCAACACCUGCGAGCUGCUCAACCGUGGCCACCGGGCCGCUGAGUGACACCGAGCAAGAUGCUCCUGCAACAGCUUGGAGGAAACUGGGUGGCUUUUUUAUAGACUUUAAAAUGAAACAGGAAUCAAAACUCCUUCUGAUAGCAGUAAAGCUGGAAGCAAUUCCAAGCCUUUCUUGAGCAGAAAGGCUGCUCUUGACUGUUAUUCCCAGAAACGAGCACUGUCAUCCGCUGAACACUUCAACCACACUAAAAGAGGCACCUGGACUCAGAAGAUUGAAGCUCUGCUCAGUUUUCUCAAGUUGGAUAUUCUGGUAUUUCUGGUGCAUCCUGCAUAUGUAGAAGCAGCAAAAUUUGUCUUGGGGAAGAGAGGCAUCAGCACGGAGAGGGGACAGAUGGUGAACGUUACCGAGACCAAACUACGGCUCGAUCUUUGCAGAGAGAGCGGGUCCUGCAAGGUCUGCUGAACUGGAGACUAUCAUGGAAAUACUUGUUCCUCAUGUGCAGAUCAGGAAGCUGGAGUCAAGUAUUUCUCCUGUUGGACAAAUGCCUCUGGAAUUCCACAAACUGCUUGGCAUAUCUGACAGAGCAGGCAGAAGAAUCCCAGCCUUCAUUUCCUGUCCAGUCUGCCUGCAUGGAGCAUGGCUUUGGAGACACUGCUCCCUGCUUCAGGUCAAGUAGUGGCAGGGAAGAAGGGGCAUCUACCUGAAUAUCUGAAAAAAUGCAAGUAGAAGGAAAGAUUUGAAAACAAACAGUGUUGGGAUAAGCUUUUUUUUUGACUUCAAAGCAUUUGUUGAUGAAACAUUGCCUAGAUUUUUAACUAAUUUUAAGGGUUUUAAGGGUUUGUCUUAGCUUGCAACUCAUCUAGGUUUGUUUUGCAUCUUGAAGGUAUCUUUACAAAAUAGUGGUAAAACAAAAAAUUAUGUGGAAGAGUUUAAUGGAUCUUGAAAGGAAAUAAAGUUGUGGCUUUCUGGUACCUGGACACCUCAAAUCCUUCUGUGAUCUUGUCAGUGUCUUGUCAGUGCCUUGCCAUGAAUAAAUGAUAUAGGAAGAAAAUAGCGGUCUAUCACAACCCCUCUCCAUUUUUAGCUAAAAAAGUACCUGUGACUGCAUAUCUGAAUCAAACUAAUUUUAUCUUUAAAAAGUAGAGGAGGGGUGCCUUGCUAAUGGGUUCUUUUGUCUAGAUGGGACUUAAUCAGAAGUAGCUAUGGCCACAAUUACAUACAGAUUCACUUUUGUGAAUUUGAAAAUCCUGUGGGGCAUUUUUCUCUCUGGAGAGUGUAUACAUCAUUCCCAUUCAGAAUUCCAGUUGUCCCAGUUAAAGAGCACAAACUGGACUUCAGAAGUUUUCCAGGGCUUAUCAUCCAUGCCAUGCUUUCUUACACUUAACUAACAUAACUAAUAAAAAAACAAGUGCCAAAAUGUGGGAAAUCCAUGGCUGGAUUGCUCCAUGCAUCUCUGCUAACCUGUGUAUCACUUUUCUUUGUGCAGUUGUUCAAGAGUCUAAUGGAGAGUCCUGCCCUUUUGAAUGGGAAUUUUGCCAGCUGCAUUAACUGGGACAAGAUUAUUGACUGUCUGAGGCAAAGCUUAGAAGAUAAUUGUUGUGUUUAACUGCUAAUUCUUUAGCAUUAUCCCAGUAACUUGUUGAUGCAUCCAAGAGUUGCUUGAUGUCUAUAUAUACACACACCCACACAUGUGCACUCGCCUGCCUUUGGGAAUACCCUCACCCUUGUUAAUAUGAGUACAAAGCUUCACUGGGCUUUCUUAUUUGUAAACAGAAAAUGUUUGGUCUUAUGUCCUGAUAAAGGGAGAUACUACAAACACAGUGUGGAGCUGUCUUUGUGUCUAUGUUCAUCUCAGAAACUCAGCAGCUCACCCUUGCAUGCGGACUGCCAUGGCUCAAGAUGCUGAAGAUGCAGAAACAGCAAAGGGAAAAAGUAACGCUGCACAUUGCUAACCCCCUGCUGCAGGGAUGGCUCACCCGUUUGGAGAGCUGUGCACAGCCCAUGACAUCCCUCACUCGGUAGGAUCUCUGUGAUCUGAGAAUUGGUACCUGCCACCCGAUGUGUCUCCUGCUGCUAGACAGGUCUAUGAAGUAAUGGAGCCUGGCUGUCUGCAGUCAGCACUGCUGUACUACAUCCAAAGCAAGCUUGCCAGUCAGCAAAUGCUGCAUUAAUCUUUCAGGGAGUGUUUGUUUUGCUUGUUUUGCUAGGCUGAGUUUCAAGCAACUGAUAAUGUGCUCAUGAGCAGUUCUCCUGUUGCAGCCCAUUUUUCAAAAAGAAGUGUGAAGGCUGAAGCUCCCUAGGUUGGGUGGAACACGGGUUGGAAGGGUUAUAAAUGGUCUUGCUUCACUGUGUGAGCUCACAGCGCUUUUGAGUGCAUGUUAAUACAUCUGCAGGUACAUUUGGGCCAGUGGAGCUGUGGCUCUUUGAAGUCUGAUGAGUGUUAUAAGAACAGACUUUGGACUUGGUUCUUCUCCGUUAAUGUUAACUCUGCUUGUGGAGUUAUCUCACUGCAAAUAAGAUGCACUUUUGUGUGCUGAGUCAAACCUUCUGACUGCUGAAGGAGAAACUCUGAAGGCUUCUGAGGGUUAGAUAAGACAAACAUUUUACAGGUCACAGGAUUUUAAGUGUUGAAAUGCCUGGAAUUUCAGGAGGUAAAUGACAGUGUGCCUGGCUUGUCCCCACUUGUCCCUGCAGUGUUGCUGCUCUGUCCAGCUGCAGCACUGAACUUACAGCUCUCACUUCAAGGCCCAUCCUUUCAAGUCUUUUUGCAUUUAGCUCCUCUAAGCAAAAAAGAAUUUAGACACACAAAUAACUUUUAGAAUGUGGAAAAUUCACAUUUUGUAUGUAUUUUGAUUCUUGUAUGUGCAGAACCUUUAAAUACAAGGCACUUUUCUGGA